rnacentral:rRNA from 1 species
CAGCAGCCACGGUAAUACAGAGGGUGCGAGCGUUAAUCGGAUUUACUGGGCGUAAAGCGUGCGUAGGCGGCUUUUUAAGUCGGAUGUGAAAUCCCUGAGCUUAACUUAGGAAUUGCAUUCGAUACUGGGAAGCUAGAGUAUGGGAGAGGAUGGUAGAAUUCCAGGUGUAGCGGUGAAAUCCGUAGAGAUCUGGAGGAAUACCGAUGGCGAAGGCAGCCAUCUGGCCUAAUACUGACGCUGAGGUACGAAAGCAUGGGGAGCAAACAGGAUUAGAUACCCCAGUAGUCCCUGUCUCUUAUAC